AAAAAGGGAGUGUUUUUGAACUAUUAUUAUUUUUCAAAGGUUAAACCUUAAGCAAGUUAUUUUAUUUAUGCCUUUAUAUGGCUAAAGUUUUAUAUAAGAAUUAUUAUUCUUUUUAAAGGAGGAUUAUUUCCGAAGGAUUUUUAUUAGUUAUAUGAUCUUUUAUGAUCACAAUUUAUAAAGAGGCCACGGCUUGUUAUUUAUUAGCAAGAACGGUAGCUAUUAUUAUUUACCAAGGCAACGGCUUGUUAUUUAUUAGCAAGAACGGUAGCCAUUAUAUUAUUUACCCAUGUACUUUUUGUAUAAGUCAUGUGGACAAGGUAGUUCCCCUCGUAAUAGACUCAGUAAGGAAUACUAAACUUGGGGGGUGUGCACACUUUAGGCAAGGUACCUAGGCAAGGAAAAAGGAGUUUUUAUUGAAGUUAUAUACUUUAUAUUAUACAAGUAUUAUCAAGUAUCUAGAAAGGUUUUUUGAAAUUAAAUAUUUCAAAAGUUUAAUUAAAUAAAGUGUUUAAUAUUCCGCAUAUACAUGUACUCAGUAUUUUUACUGACACGCGUUUUGUUUUGUUUUGUUUUAUGGCUUUGUCCCUGUGAUGACCCUUUUGGUGAGCAGAUUUUACAGGUUGAUUGAUGCAUACUUCAUAUUGGGGAGCUAGUGAGGAAUCAUAAUUAGUCAAGGAGUUGUUAUUUUAUUUUCUUUAUUUCCAUUGUUAUAUAGGUGUACAAUAAAGUUUAUAUUAAUAAAGAGAAGUUAUUUAAGUUA